rnacentral:pre_miRNA from 1 species
UCCUCCGCUGUGUUGGACGGCAGGCCCUGGCGCCUGUAUUUGCCGACUGGUCGGCAAAUACAGGCGCCAGGGCCUGCCGUCCAACACAGCGGAGGA